GCUGGGCAUGGUGGCGCGUGCCUGUAAUCCCAGAUACUCAGGAGGCUGAAGCAGGAGAAUCACUUGAACCCAGGAGGCAAUGGUUGCAGUGAGCCAAGAUCACACCACUGCACUCCAGCCUGGGCAACAGAGUGAGACUCUGCCUCAA
rnacentral:SRP_RNA from 1 species